rnacentral:rRNA from 1 species
ACACUCCUACGGGAGGCAGCAGUGGGGAAUUUUGGACAAUGGGCGAAAGCCUGAUCCAGCCAUGCCGCGUGCAGGAUGAAGGCCUUCGGGUUGUAAACUGCUUUUGUACGGAACGAAACGGCCUUUUCUAAUAAAGAGGGCUAAUGACGGUACCGUAAGAAUAAGCACCGGCUAACUACGUGCCAGCAGCCGCGGUAAUACGUAGGGUGCAAGCGUUAAUCGGAAUUACUGGGCGUAAAGCGUGCGCAGGCGGUUAUGUAAGACAGUUGUGAAAUCCCCGGGCUCAACCUGGGAACUGCAUCUGUGACUGCAUAGCUAGAGUACGGUAGAGGGGGAUGGAAUUCCGCGUGUAGCAGUGAAAUGCGUAGAUAUGCGGAGGAACACCGAUGGCGAAGGCAAUCCCCUGGACCUGUACUGACGCUCAUGCACGAAAGCGUGGGGAGCAAACAGGAUUAGAUACCCGGGUAGUCCCAU